AUGGCUUCUAUCUCUGAGCGCACGUUCAUCGCCAUCAAGCCUGACGGAGUCCAGCGGGGACUGGUGGGAGAAAUCAUCAAGCGGUUUGAACAGAAAGGAUUCAAACUGGUCGCCAUGAAAUUAAUACAUGCCUCUGAAGACCUUCUGAGAGAACACUACAUUGACCUAAAAGACCGGCCAUUCUAUGAUGGUCUGGUGCAGUACAUGCAUUCUGGACCUGUUGUAGCUAUGGUGUGGGAAGGACUUAAUGUGGUUAAGACUGGAAGAGUGAUGCUGGGGGAAACUAACCCAUUUGAUUCCAAGCCUGGCACUAUUCGUGGUGACCUCUGCGUUCAAGUUGGAAGGAACAUCAUUCAUGGAAGUGAUUCUGUAGAAAGUGCUGAGACAGAGAUCAAUUUAUGGUUCACUCCUGAAGAACUGGUUGAUUACAGAAGCUGUGCUCAUGAAUGGAUCUAUGAGUAAAACUGAGCCUCUACCUUCUGAUAUCCUUACUGUCUGUAAGCAGCUGCUAGCCUCUAGCUGUUUCAAAGCCCUUCAUAUAAACCGGUAGAAACACGUCUUAGAAAUCUGUGAAAUUGCUCUGUUGAGAAUAUUAAAUAUAGCCAGCAUUUGCUGCUGCUUUGGUUAAAAAGCUGUCAAGUUAUAGAUGGAAUUGUACUUUCAGAAAGCUGCUUCAGGGGGGUAAGAGAUAGGAGAUUAAAACACAGAGCAUAUAACACAUAUUUUCCUGAAGCACUCUGUCGUCAAACAGGAUAGUUUGGUAAACAGAAAAAAAAUUGGUAAAAAUUUAUUUGGUAAGUAAUUAUGCAAAUGGCUUAGUGUCAAAGGUUGAUUAUGUUAAAAUGUAAGGGGACAACUUAUGGUAUGUAAAUAUAUUGAUAGUGUGCCCAAAUGUUGAGGACUGAACUUGCUAUCAAGUGAAUCCCCAUGCCCAAAAUGGCUGCAGAAAAAAAAGCUUAUUUAUUUCUCUCUCCAGAAUGUGCUGUGCCUGUACACAGAGCAUAGCUUUGAUUAAAAUGAGAACUUUCCUCUAGAUGACACUGUUUCAACUUGCUUUUUUUUUUUUUUACCCCACACAGGAUUUAUUUAGCAUUUUAAGGAAGGAUUAAUAGGCCAGGCUUUCUGAAAUGCCCUUUUAUGUGAAAAGAAGAUUAAUGUGAGGAUGGAUGAGGGAGAUCUACCUUCAGCCACUUUAGUGUAGCAGUCCUCUGGCGUUGCACAGAGCAACAACAGAGUGACAUUUGCUUUACUGGCUGAAGAGCUGAUAAUUUAGCUAUGUCCUUAUUUGUGUUCUUUCCUUAACAGCUGGAACUCCAAAGCAAGCUGUUCUUGGAUAAGGUAUUUCAGAAGUGGCUCUAGCAUUAUUUUUUUAAUUUAUUUAAUCAUGUAAAGAAAUACAGUCAUAAUAUUGCUAAAUGUAUUUCAGUAGAGGUGUCUGCUUCUGUCAGAGAAAACUAUCAGCCUCUUGCAGAAAUCUGAACAACAAAUAUUCACUAGCUGUACUGGACGAGGAACAAGAAAUGUAUUGGGGUCAAUAUUAUGUAUUUAUUUCCCUGCAAUGUUGUAUUCGGUAAAAGCAAGGGUUUCAUGAAAUUACAAGUUCUUGUUUCAAAUACUAAACUGUGCAAUGAAUGUUCAAUUCGAUGCUUACGGUACUUUUUGAAGAUACCCAACUCCUAAAAAGAGAUGGUACAAAAUGAAACAACAUUUGCUCUUUCUUAGGUGAAAUAAAAGGAAAUUUUCAUUA